rnacentral:snRNA from 1 species
GUUUUUUUCUAAAAUAUUUCUGCUAUUGUGUUAUAUAUAGCAUGGUCCCUGUGCAUUGAUGACACGCAUAAAUCGAGAUAGGAUCCAAAUUUAA